rnacentral:rRNA from 1 species
UACGUAGGUGGCAAGCGUUGUCCGGAUUUACUGGGCGUAAAGAGCGCGCAGGCGGUCGUUCAAGUCGCGUGUGAAAGCCCCCGGCUCAACUGGGGAGGGUCACGCGAUACUGAUCGACUCGAAGGCAGGAGAGGGUAGUGGAAUUCCCAGUGUAGCGGUGAAAUGCGUAGAUAUUGGGAGGAACACCAGUGGCGAAGGCGGCUCACUGGACCGGUACUGACGCUGAUGCGCGAAAGCGUGGGGAGCAAACGGG